ensembl:lncRNA
GGCUGUUUUGACAGGUCUUCUUGAACCUAUAUAAUUAUUGUAAUCAGCAGAAAGGGUGAGGCAACUCAUGGCCUGAAAAAGGGACACGUGGAGAAUACUGGAGUCAAAGCAUUCUUAAGUUCACUGUGGAAGUAGGGUUCCAGCCCCAACAGUUUCUUCUGCAAGGAAAAGGAGCAUGGAGAACAGAGGAGGUGGAGAAAAGAAAGAGGAGGAAUUUAGUCCAAACAACGAUAAUGAAAAGGAGAAGCUUCGCGGCUGACCUUUAACUUCCCCACACCUCAGGGGACCUGAUGUGGAAGGUUCUUGCAAGCCUAUGCUCAGCGAGCUCUGGGAAAGGAAGGCCAGAUUUGGUCACAGUGAUCUCAGAGGACAGUGCCUGGACACGAUAUUCUGUGUUUGUGCUUGCAAUCUCAGAAACAGCACGAGAUUGUGGAGGCUUCACGAACUCUGAAACUUUGCUCACGAGUUGCAAGCAAAGCUGUGAGUUUUCCAAAGGUUAUUUGGCCAGAAGAGGAUGUCAGCACACAGAAGAAGAGACCACCACUGCUGGCCUUUCCAGUUCCAGCCGGACACCGCGGAGCACUGUUGACAACCGUGCAGGGCUCAUUCUCCUUCACAGAGAGGGGGCCGGGUGCGCCUCCCAGCCCAGGCCCCCAGGAGGCUCUGAGAGGGCAGAGGGGAGGGCCUUCUAAUAAGGCAUAAGCUGCUGGAAAGACAAACUCAAGCGCAAGCUGGGAGGAUCUCACUAGACCUACAAAAGUGGAAGGAAGCUGGCCGGGUGCCUGGCGCUGUGUGACCUACGCAACGAAAGGCAAGCUGAUCUUAGAAUGCUCAAAGAGGAGCAACUCUCCCAUGACCCUGUCCGUUUACACCAGAGAAGAGCAGAUAUGUCAUUCUGCUGCCAGGGCUGAGGAGGGGCAGUUUGCAUCAGGAGCAGACAAGUGGGUGCAACAGACUCUGAUUGCAAAAGUAGAGAAGAUCUCUCUGGAAGGAAACCUCCCAAUGUUUUCACCACGAGCUGUCAUGAAGAGAGACCUUGUGAAGCUCCACUCCAGCUUAGCUGCUUGCAAGGACAUCCCAGUUUCCAGGCACCAAAGUCUGGUAAAGCAGUCACUCAGCCUUCGGCUCCAGGCAGCCCCCUCAGGGAUGUUCUACUUGCUCUUCCACCCUUGGAGGCCGGGCUACCACUGUGUUCCGAAAACUGAUGAGCAUCCAGCGGGCAGCUCGCAGUCAGCUCCCCAGGCUGAUACUGGUUCCCUGGGUGAAGCGUGCCCGUGGGAAGACCCUCUACCUCUCCAGACACUUGGAUAAAGCAGUGGUCAAUGAGAGAUGGUGGCUUCCACCCAUUCUCUCAGUGAUGUCUGGGUUCGGAAGGCCUCCAGGUAGAUGACUCUCCUUCCCAUGGCUAGUAACCCUGAGGACUAAUGGUUCAACCAUCUGCAAAGGAACAAAAUGAAAAUUCAUUUUCCACAUGGUGAAAUGAAUGUCAUUCUUAUUUUAGUUUGUCAUAGAAAUCUUCUCUUUACCGCAAGAACUAUUCUUCAACUUAAACUGAAAUUGGAGAAUGCAUAUGGGCUACCUAUAAGUGGUUGAAUGCAAUUUUUUUAGAAUUUUAUGUGCUAUCAAUUAAACAUGUUUUCAUAACUGAGACACAAAUGUGAACAACGUUUUUGUUUUCAUUGUCAAGAUUUUCUAAUGGUGUGAAGGAGAAGGUAGAAAUUGGAGGCAUUCAGGGAAGAAGAUCAGUUGAGAAUUGAUAUUUGAACCUCUCUCUUACUUGUUCUUCAGUAAUAUCUUUGUCCAAAUCCAUAGAACA